rnacentral:rRNA from 1 species
UACGUAGGUGGCAAGCGUUAUCCGGAAUUAUUGGGCGUAAAGCGCGCGCAGGCGGUUUCUUAAGUCUGAUGUGAAAGCCCACGGCUCAACCGUGGAGGGUCAUUGGAAACUGGGAACUUGAGUGCAGAAGAGAAAAGCGGAAUUCCACGUGUAGCGGUGAAAUGCGUAGAGAUGUGGAGGAACACCAGUGGCGAAGGCGGCUUUUGGUCUGUAACUGACGCUGAGGCGCGAAAGCGUGG